CGACCCCAGCUCAGGCGAGAACACCCGCUGAGUUUAAGCAUAUAAUUAAGCAGAGGAAAAGAAACUUACAAGGAUUCCCCUA
rnacentral:ncRNA from 1 species